GGUCCUGUCCUCCAUCUCUCCUCUCUCUCUCUUUCCACCCCUCCUAGGUCCUGUCCUCCAUCUCUCCUCUCUCUCUCUUUCCACCCCUCCUAGGUCCUGUCCUCCAUCUCUCCUCUCUCUCUCUUUCCACCCCUCCUAGGUCCUGUCCUCCAUCUCUCCUCUCUCUCUCUUUCCACCCCUCCUAGGUCCUGUCCUCCAUCUCUCCUCUCUCUCUCUUUCCACCCCUCCUAGGUCCUGUCCUCCAUCUCUCCUCUCUCUCUCUUUCCACCCCUCCUAGGUCCUGUCCUCCAUCUCUCCUCUCUCUCUCUUUCCACCCCUCCUAGGUCCUGUCCUCCAUCUCUCCUCUCUCUCUCUUUCCACCCCUCCUAGGUCCUGUCCUCCAUCUCUCCUCUCUCUCUCUUUCCACCCCUCCUAGGUCCUGUCCUCCAUCUCUCCUCUCUCUCUCUUUCCACCCCUCCUAGGUCCUG